ensembl:lncRNA
GGCUGGUUUGUGCUGCCUAACCUGGACUGACCGUGCGGCUGGCUGAGGCUGCACACCUGUUGCACAUUGAGCAAUCAGUGUGCAACAUGUUAAACCAGCCGUCACCACACAUCUCCUGCAUGGUAACCCGGAGCCCCAUGUAUCUCAUAGUCAGAUAUCGUUGUCUGCAACCUCACAAUGAACCGGUCUUCCAACACCACUGCUCUGCGUCCUUGUCUGGAGGAGCUCAGCUUAAGUUACCUAGGUGGAGUGUGGCAGCGUUGUUACAAACUCGAAUGCACCUGGAUACAUUUCACUCAGAGAAGUAAGACCUAAGGAAAUGUUGGUGGCCUCAUCUCAUGGUAUCCCGCCGAUGUAUUUUGAACCUCUGAUGCACGCCUCGCGCUCCCUCUGUAGAGAUGGAAGCUAUAAGUGACACUCUGACAUGUAUGGCUACCUCCUCCCCGUGGGUUCUUGUGUACAGACUGCCCACUGUAAGAGGUGCACAUGAGAGGCGUUGUGCACGGAUAUGGCAUCCUGGUGCUGCCUGGCUGUCAUCACAUUGUCGCUACGCUACGUGGUCGUCAUGGUGUGCUCACCCUGUUCGCUGUUGUCGUGGUGUCAUCACACUGUCGCUAAGCUACGUGGUCGUCAUGGUGUGACCACCCUGUUCGCUACGUGGUUGUCGUGGUGUCAUCACACUGUCGCUACGUUACGUGGUCGUCAUGGUGUGACCACCCUGUUCGCUACCUGGUUGUCGUGGUGUCAUCACACUGUCGCCAUCACACUGUUGCUACGCGGUCCUCAUUGUGUCAGCACACUGUUGCUACGCUACAUGGUCGUAUUGUUUUGAAGCCCUGGAGUUUAUUAAAUAUGGCACGGGAUGUUGACCCUUCACCCACAGCCGGAGGUAAUGGGGAGGGAGGACCCCCGAGGUGUGUAGAUGGGGGGGCCCCCCUGCCAGCCGGGUGGGUACUAGACCUGUACACUUGAGUGGAGUACAGAGUUCUUUAUUAUCCCCACAGGGGCCGAUCAUAUUGCAGCGAGCAGCUGAGGAAACCACAAACAUAAAGGCACAUGAGCAUAGAAAACCAUCAUUGAAUAACAGCAUCAGCAGUGAACAGUCGGUCUCCGCAGACACUCCAGCUCCACGGUUAGGCUGAGGUUAGCCUCAGGGAUGGAGGAGGGGAUCGAAUCGAUGACCACUGCCACAUCUAGGAAUUCCCAUAUCUACACCCUGCGGGACGAAGGGCAGACUGAAUAGAGUGUGUGUGUCUAGUCACUUUUCUGGUAGUGACUGGAUUAGUGUCAUUUCUGAACACAUCCUCACCAGUAGUGAAGGGGUAGCAUCAGUUAGAUUUGGCCUGAUUUAGUCUAUAAUGUAAGUAAAAUUUGAUAUUCUCAAGUCACAGGAGCCUGACAAACUGAAAGAGGAAAGCACAUCAACAUUAGCAUUUCUGAAGCUUAAAUUGCAAAUUUUUGUAUUUUUGACUUAAUACAUUAACAAACUAAUGAAUUAUUUAUCUAAAUUAUAUCUGUUAAUCCUAACGGCACAAGAGGGCUACAGCUUUAGAAGUGGAAAUUACGCAUGGUGAGAUUGUAGUGCUAAUAAUUAAAUGCUAUGGCUGCAAGUCCUCUGAAACUAAGAAAAUCAACUUUAACAGUUUUGUAUCAACAUUCAUCUUCCUGUGUUGUAUUUUGUCUGUUUGAUGUGAACCUGCACUAUUAAACUUCUGCUGAUUAUUUUUGCUACCGGUAAAUAAAUAUCUGAAGCAAACAUUUCUUAAGAAAACGUGCCAAUUAUUCAAUGCAUCCAGUGAAGUUCUCUAUUAUUCAUAUUAUUCUGGUCCACUUUUGCCCUUCCCCUGCUAUUGGGUGCACUUGCAUAGUGCCAGUAUAACCAGGUAAGCAAAUUGGAAGUUGGAUAUGUUUAACUUUAUAUUUUGAAUACUUUUCACAGUGCAGCUUCCAACCCAAAGUGAACAUCUUCUCUUGGAAAAACAGUUAUGUUCUAUUCAAGGAAGUGAGUGAGAAAAGGCUGGUGUUUCUGUAAUCUCUUGUCUACCAUGCCAGUCGCUAUGGCGACAACCUGCCUGGAUCCGUGCUGAAAACCAAACUAAACAAAUUACAGACUUUUGUCGAUUUUAUUAUUCAAUGUAGAUUCUAAAGAUAACAGUUAAAUCAGUUAAAUAAGUAGUUAUUUUAAGAGUAGUUAUUAAAAGACUAGUUCAUAAUUAUGUUACAUGACCUGAAUUUGUUUUGUGUUUGUUCACCAGAUGUUCCGUGAUCUCCUUCACAAACCUUCCAUGACCUGAACUUCCUCUAUUUAGAAGUUGGCGUAUAGACGAGAGGAACAAGAUGUCCCUGGACUAGCUGACAUUUUCGACUGCGGUUGCCCGGCUCAUCUCAAGAUGGCAGAUCUUCAGCUGCUUGCUGUGAGACCCACAUGCACCCCUCCACAGUCGCCCCCACCACAGCGCCCCCGAGCCCCGUCAACCCCUCCCUUGGCCCAGGCAGCGGACGAGGAGCAGGAGCCUGUAGCGCUGUAGCUCCUGGUUAGUGCGGAGGGACGCAGAUGAAUACUGCUGCCAACGGGACACCUUGAGAGAAGAAGCAUCCCAUAACUCCGCCAGACGAUACAAAAUGACUGCCAGGACCUUCCGGAACUUUCCCUGCUGGCCGACCCGCCUGCCGUUAGAGCAGAAGGAUCACCGUGGUUACGAGGACAAGGUCAGGCUGGCUGAGCUUGGCGAGGUCUUUAGCAGCGCAGAGACUGAAGAGGAGCUGUGAGGGGGAGAUAAGAUGCACUGGACCAGAGGAGUGCUCAACAGAGACACAAACACACUGACUCUUAUAUGUGGCAGCACAGUGAAUACCUAGG